UCGUGCAGUGGCGAUGGGCAAGGUAGUAGUGCUUUCUUCCAGAUUACUCUACCAUUAUUACAGCAGUCAUAAUCACACAUGUCGAUGGCUUAUCGGUUGACAUUCAUUCUGUGCUUUGAAUUAAUAUUUCAUGGACAAACCCUCGCUUUGCCGUUAAUUGGGCGAUUUGUUGUAAAUACUGCAUUGCUUUCUAAUUUUCCUGGUAUUCGUAAAUCUUGCCCUGGUAUGCCACGUCGGGAUCACCAUUCUGUGCGGGCCAACUGUGCGGUGUGAGUGUGCAGCAUUUCUUUUAAUUGGAGCGACUUACUCUUGAUUGACGAUUUGAAAGGCGACUGAAUGUACACUACACUACGUAUAUACCAAGUGGACCUUCGUCUCGAUGUGUGGUGCUGUGGUGUGUCGCAGUGGGAUUCAAUAUAGCAUAGCAUCUGAUUACGGCAUCUCUCUGCAGUUGCGCAAACGAAUUCUUCCGGUGAACGUGGUGUUUUGUGCCGUCGAAAGCUCCUCGCAACUUCAAUGGGCCGCUGUGGUGAGUAGAUCAGCAUUCCAACAACCUACGGCUUCUUAUUUUUAUUUCCGCCACCUUGUCACAAAAUUGUUUAGUGCUGAUUUGACACGAAUUGUAACGCCGCCGCCGCUGAUUCUCGCGGCCGGACGCCGCCCCCACGUGGCGGCGGCGGCGGCCGGCGCAAUUGGAGUGAUUGCAAUUUGCAAACGAAGAAAUUGCGAGAUGUGAAACCAGCAGCUGACCGUGGGACAGGCGCCCGUGAAAAAGUCGCACGGUCUUUGCGCAAGCGUAAUACCACCAAAUAUCUACACAGAUACCGGGGCAACACAAACACAAACGCUCAAAACGGGACCCAAUUCCCAUCUAUUAUUGGAUGCCGAUUUGGGAAGAGCCGCCAGAGACAAGGUUUGCACACCGUAAUCGCUAUAAAUGCCCCAUGAGAAAAAAAUACGAGCUUUUUCCAAACUUGUGGGGCUGAGUUGGUAGUUAACAUUUGACAAUAUAAAAAAAUGAUUAAAAAGUCAAAAUAUUAAAACUUCAACAUUAAAACAUAGAAGGAAAAUCAAACCAAGUGAAACAAUCGGAAGUAUCACUUUCAGACUGUUUAUUUAAUUGUCUUAACACUCGCGAGAUUAAAAUUUAAACAAAGUUGAGGAAUCAAAUUUGCCUAAAGAUUUCUUUUGUUAAUAAAUGAGCGGAAUAGGAUCAAACAGGCAAAAAUAAUACAUAAAUGACCUGAUUUGUUAACUUUUGAAUUAAUACAGUGAAACCUUUUACUCCGACCAUGCCUCAUCCGAACAUCGUGUAACCUGAAAACAAGUGCAUAGAGUUAAAGUCCAAACAUAUUAAACCGAAAGAAAAGUAAAUACAAUUUUUUUUCUGAUCUUGAAUAAAAACAAUUAUUAAAUUCAGACUGUUUACUUAAAUCUCUUAACACAUGCGAGAUUUUUUUUAACCAAGUUAACGAAUCAAAUUUGCCGAAGUUUUUUUACUAAAAAAAGAGCUGUAUAGGAUCAAAUAAGCAAAUAUGAGACAUAAAUGUUCUGUUUUAUUUGUUAGCUCUUCGAUUAAUACAGUGAAACCUUUUAACUCCGACCAUGCCAUCAGAACCUCGUGUAACCCGAAAAACAAGCGCAUCGAGUUACAGUCCGA